CAAGUCGAACGAUGAUGCCCAGCUUGCUGGGCGGAUUAGUGGCGAACGGGUGAGUAAUACGUGUGUAACCUGCCCUUGACUCUGGGAUAAGCCUGGGAAACUGGGUCUAAUACUGGAUACUACCGUCCACCGCAUGGUGGGUGGUGGAAAGGGUUUUACUGGUUUUGGAUGGGCUCACGGCCUAUCAGCUUGUUGGUGGGGUAAUGGCUCACCAAGGCGACGACGGGUAGCCGGCCUGAGAGGGUGACCGGCCACACUGGGACUGAGACACGGCCCAGACUCCUACGGGAGGCAGCAGUGGGGAAUAUUGCACAAUGGGCGGAAGCCUGAUGCAGCGACGCCGCGUGAGGGAUGACGGCCUUCGGGUUGUAAACCUCUUUCAGUAGGGAAGAAGCGAGAGUGACGGUACCUGCAGAAGAAGCGCCGGCUAACUACGUGCCAGCAGCCGCGGUAAUACGUAGGGCGCAAGCGUUGUCCGGAAUUAUUGGGCGUAAAGAGCUCGUAGGCGGUUUGUCGCGUCUGCUGUGAAAGCCCGGGGCUCAACCCCGGGUCUGCAGUGGGUACGGGCAGACUAGAGUGCAGUAGGGGAGACUGGAAUUCCUGGUGUAGCGGUGAAAUGCGCAGAUAUCAGGAGGAACACCGAUGGCGAAGGCAGGUCUCUGGGCUGUUACUGACGCUGAGGAGCGAAAGCAUGGGGAGCGAACAGGAUUAGAUAC
rnacentral:rRNA from 1 species